AUGGAUCGCUCGGGAUGCAGGGACACAAAUCCCUCGGGAUCCAGGGACACAGAUCCAUCAGGAUGCUGGAACACAGAUCCCUCAGACGCUGGAAUUCAGAUCCCUCGGGAUGCAGGGACAUGGAUCCCUCGGGAUGCUGGGACACAGAUCCCUUGGGAUGCAGGGACACAGAUCCCUCGGGAUAAAGGGACACGGAUUCCUCGGGAUUCAGGGACACAGAUCCCUCGGGAUGCAGGGACACAGACCCCUCGGGAUGCAGGGACACAGAUCCAUCAGACGCUGGAAUUCAGAUCCCUCGGGAUGCAGGGACACGGAUCCCUCGGGAUGCUGGAAUUCAGAUCCCUCGGGAUCCAGGGACACAAAUCCCUCGUGAUGCUGGGACACAGAUCCCUCGGGAUGCAGGGACACAAAUCCCUCGGGAUCCAGGGACACAAAUCUCUCGGGAUGCAGGGACACAGAUUUCUCGGGAUUCAGGGAGACAGAUCCCUCGGGAUCCAGGGACACAAAUGCCUCGGUGCCGUGGCCAGAGCUGGGCUCAGUCCAGACUCUGAUCCCUCGGGAUUCUUGGGAGCCGAUCCCGGAGGAGGGCGCGGUGCCGAUCCCGGGGUGACUCCGGGGCGCCGAUCCCGGGGAUCCCGGCUGGAUCCCGGCUGGAUCCCGGGGAUCCCGGCCGGCCCGGGGACCCCGCGCGAACAAAGGCCCCGCGGGCAGCACGAGGCCGGCGGGCGGCGCGACCCGCCCCCGGGAGGGCGGGACCGAGAGGGACCGGGCAGGGACCGGGAGCACCGGGAGGGACCGGGAAGGAGCCGGGAAAGAGCCGGGAGGCACCGGGAAGGACCGGGAGCACCGGGAGGGAGCCGGGAGCGCUCCCUGGAUUAUGUCCCGUAUCGAGUCGCUGUCGCGAGCCAGGAGCGAUCGCGCCAAGGGCAAGGACAAGGAGAGGAUGAAGGAGGGCAAGGAGAAGGACGCGCGUUACACCAACGGGCACCUC
rnacentral:lncRNA from 1 species